UUAAUCUAUUUUGGAAAGCCUCUUGUAAUCAAUCAACAUUAACAAUAUGGUGAGUCUUUCAUGGUUUUCAUAUCUUUAGGUUCUAAGAUUCUUGACAUUUCUGAACUUAGCUUAUACAAUAACAAAGGCAUCAGCAUCAUUAUGUUUGAAUGGUUCCUUCUCUUUUAGGAAUCAAGAUAAUCUUGUACCGAAAUGAAGUGUGUGGCUAAGAUUGUACCUGAGGCCUCAGCAGAACGUUCUGUUGGGUGAAAUGAGUUGACAAUUUAUUUCCCAGUCAAAGCUUCCAUUUCUACAUAUGAUCUCUUCCAGAAGAUUAUUUCCUGACAACUCUUCAAGGAGUGACUGGUAGCAGGAAAUUCCUGAAAGGAGAAUCCUCAAAGAGCCACCCUCUAAAGAUGGUGAUCACAAAGAUGAGGCGGAUUUGUUACAGUUGAUACCAUCACUUCUAUACCAGCUUCACCAAAACAACGAUACAGUCUUCUUUCCUGUGUGGCAGCGGAUACCUCCUGCAGAUAAGAAAUGCUUAACUGAGAAAUGCUCAUAUUGGGAUAUCACCGAUGAGACUUUAAUUUGGGCAUGGUGACAAUUUCCCUUGCUGCCGCUUGACUCAAUCCCAGGAGCCUCAGUAGAGGAAAUAAUAUUACACAAGAAGCUCAAAAAUGGUGGAAUUGCUCAGUGCUCCCACAAAUACACAUUUAUAAUUUUUAUUUGCCAUAUGAUAAAUUUUUUUAAAAAAUAGGGGGGAUAUUCAAAAGAAACAGCAUGAUUUUUUUCAAAAACUCAAAAUAUAUUUAAGUAAUACAUAAACUAGGUGCCCUCCUCUCUUUCAGUUUUAUCCCAUAGUUUCCUCUUAAGGAGGUGUGUGCAUUCUUUUAGUGGAUAGAUGUGCACAAACACAUACUCAAGUGAUCUGGGGGAGGGGAUCUAGAAGUGGAGCCAUAUUGUAACACAUUCUUGCAAAUUUCCUCUUUCAUCUAGUAGUCUUUUCAAUGGGCUUUUUCUAUUUCAGUAAUACAUACACAUCUGUGUCAUUUGUUGAAUGACUGCAUGACUGUUCUGUAGAUGAAAUAUAAUUAAAUGUCUUAAGGAUUUCUCACUCAUAGGUAUUUAUGUUAGUACCAAACUUCUGUGCAAUGAAUCUCCCUCAAUAUCAACAACUCUGCAUUUGUCUAUUAUAUUAUAAUAAAAUCACCUAGCAGUUGAAGUACUGGAAUUAA
rnacentral:lncRNA from 1 species